rnacentral:rRNA from 1 species
UACGUAGGGACCGAGCGUUGUCCGGAUUCAUUGGGCGUAAAGGGCUCGUAGGUGGCCAACUAAGUCAGACGUGAAAUCCCUCGGCUUAACCGGGGAACUGCGUCUGAUACUGGAUGGCUUGAGUUCGGGAGAGGGAUGCGGAAUUCCAGGUGUAGCGGUGAAAUGCGUAGAUAUCUGGAGGAACACCGGUGGCGAAGGCGGCAUCCUGGAUUGGUAUUGACGCUGAGGAGCGAAAGCUAGGGGAGCAAACGGG